rnacentral:rRNA from 1 species
UUAGAGGAAGUAAAAGUCGUAACAAGGUUUCCGUAGGUGAACCUGCGGAAGGAUCAUUAUCGAGUUUGAAUGCGGGCUCUGAUGCUGGCUUCGGCAUGUGCUCGAGCCCCGCUCAUCCACUCAACCCCUGUGCACUUUAGAGGUGUAGUCCUCCGUCAUGGGAGCCGCUCUCCGGAGCUGGGACUGCGCCUCGACCCUUCUACACAAACACCUGUAAAGUCUAGUGAAUGUGAUCGCCCUCUGGGCGGAAUUGUAAUACAACUUUCAACAACGGAUCUCUUGGCUCUCGCAUCGAUGAAGAACGCAGCGAAAUGCGAUAAGUAAUGUGAAUUGCAGAAUUCAGUGAAUCAUCGAAUCUUUGAACGCACCUUGCGCUCCUUGGUAUUCCGAGGAGCAUGCCUGUUUGAGUGUCAUGAAUAUCAUCAACCUCCGCCGCGUUUUGCGUGGUCGGAAGGCUUGGACUUUGGGGGUUUCUGGCGGCCUCUUCUCGAGGUCGCCUCCCCUGGAAUGCAUUAGCUGGACGCGAUCCUGGUCCCUUGCGCGGAGCUCGGACUUCCACGGUGUAGUACGCUAUUCACCUGGGACGACGCCUCCCGACCGCUUCGAGUCCGCUUCGAAUCGUCUUCGGACAACCUUUGACAAUCUGGCCUCAAAUCAGGUAGGACUACCCGCUGAACUUAAGCAUAUCAAUAAG